rnacentral:rRNA from 1 species
AGAGUUUGAUCAUGGCUCAGGACGAACGCUGGCGGCGUGCUUAACACAUGCAAGUCGAACGGUGAUGACAGGGCUUGCCUUGUCUGAUCAGUGGCGAACGGGUGAGUAACACGUGAGUAACCUGCCCCAGACUCUGGGAUAACCCCGGGAAACCGGAGCUAAUACCGGAUAUGACCUUCGGACGCAUGUUCUGUUGGUGGAAAGUUUUUCGGUUUGGGAUGGGCUCGCGGCCUAUCAGCUUGUUGGUGAGGUAGUGGCUCACCAAGGCGACGACGGGUAGCCGGCCUGAGAGGGCGACCGGCCACACUGGGACUGAGACACGGCCCAGACUCCUACGGGAGGCAGCAGUGGGGAAUAUUGCACAAUGGGCGGAAGCCUGAUGCAGCGACGCCGCGUGAGGGAUGACGGCCUUCGGGUUGUAAACCUCUUUCAGCAGGGAAGAAGCGUGAGUGACGGUACCUGCAGAAGAAGCACCGGCUAACUACGUGCCAGCAGCCGCGGUAAUACGUAGGGUGCGAGCGUUGUCCGGAAUUAUUGGGCGUAAAGAGCUUGUAGGCGGUUUGUCGCGUCUGCUGUGAAAAUCCGGGGCUCAACCCCGGACUUGCAGUGGGUACGGGCAGGCUAGAGUGUGGUAGGGGAGACUGGAAUUCCUGGUGUAGCGGUGGAAUGCGCAGAUAUCAGGAGGAACACCGAUGGCGAAGGCAGGUCUCUGGGCCACUACUGACGCUGAGAAGCGAAAGCAUGGGGAGCGAACAGGAUUAGAUACCCUGGUAGUCCAUGCCGUAAACGUUGGGCGCUAGGUGUGGGACUCAUUCCACGAGUUCCGUGCCGCAGCUAACGCAUUAAGCGCCCCGCCUGGGGAGUACGGCCGCAAGGCUAAAACUCAAAGGAAUUGACGG